rnacentral:rRNA from 1 species
UGGGGAAUAUUGCACAAUGGGGAAACCCUGAUGCAGCAACGCCGCGUGAGUGAUGACGGUCUUCGGAUUGUAAAGCUCUGUCUUUAGGGACGAUAAUGACGGUACCUAAGGAGGAAGCCACGGCUAACUACGUGCCAGCAGCCGCGGUAAUACGUAGGUGGCAAGCGUUGUCCGGAUUUACUGGGCGUAAAGGGAGCGUAGGCGGAUCUUUAAGUGGGAUGUGAAAUACUCGGGCUCAACCUGGGGGCUGCAUUCCAAACUGGGGAUCUAGAGUACAGGAGGGGAGAGUGGAAUUCCUAGUGUAGCGGUGAAAUGCGUAGAGAUUAGGAAGAACACCAGUGGCGAAGGCGACUCUCUGGACUGUAACUGACGCUGAGGCUCGAAAGCGUGGGGAGCAAACAGGAUUAGAUA